GCUAUGUUUAGAAAAACUUUGAUGGCAAGUGUAAUAAAUGUAAUAAGAACUUUAUUAUCUGAUGACACAUCAAUAAUUUUAUCAUGACUGGAUAAUCCAAUCCUGAAAGAGACAAAAAAAAAAGGUUUAAAAAAGAAUAUUAUUUAUUUCAAAAUAUGUGUACUCAGCUUUCUCCAACACUGCAACAACAUACGAAAUUCUUACAAGAAAGAAGUUUUAAAAAGAAAAAAACAUACUUGAACCUGAAUAAAAUAAAAAAAAAGAAAAAAAAAGAAACAAAAUCAAAACAUUGAAAAAAAAACAAAGAUACAAAAGUGAAUAAAAACAAAUAAAAAAUACUUAAAUAGAAAAAAAGAAACAAAAUCAAAACAUACAAACCUGAAUGAAAUAAAUAAAAACAAAUAAAAAAUACUUAAAUAGAAAAAGAAACAAAAUCAAAACAUACAAACCUGAAUGAAAUAAAUAAAAACAAAUAAAAAAUACUUAAAUAGAGAAAAGAAACAAAAUAAAAACUUUGAAAAAAACAAAUUAAAAGAAACAGAUACAAAAGUGAAUGAAACAAAGAAAAAUUCAAACAAAAGAAAAAAAAGCAGAAUCAAAACAUACAAAACAAAUAAACAAGUAAUUUAAAUGAACGAAGAUUAAAACAAAAUUUUAUUAUAUAAUUUCAAGAAAAGGUUAAAAUGUCAAUUUCAAAAGAGUCAUUAGUUACAUAUAUAUAUGUACAGGUAAAUUUUAAUGACACACACAAGCAGAAAACUUCAACCCUGAUUGAUUUCAACAGGUAACAUAAUUAGAUAAAACAUCAGCCUAGUUUUUAUGACCCCAAUAAAUGGCCAACAUCUCAAGAUUGAAUACCCC
rnacentral:lncRNA from 1 species